rnacentral:rRNA from 1 species
GAUGAAUGCUGGCGGCGUGCUUAACACAUGCAAGUCGAGCGGUAAGGCCCCUUCGGGGGUACACGAGCGGCGAACGGGUGAGUGACACGUGAGCAAUCUGCCCUUCACACAGGGAUAACCUCGGGAAACCGAAGCUAAUACCUGAUACGACCACUUCAGGCAUCUGAUGGUGGUGGAAAGUUCCGGCGGUGAAGGAUGAGCUCGCGGCCUAUCAGCUUGUUGGUGGGGUAAUGGCCUACCAAGGCGACGACGGGUAGCCGGCCUGAGAGGGUGACCGGCCACACUGGGACUGAGACACGGCCCAGACUCCUACGGGAGGCAGCAGUGGGGAAUAUUGGACAAUGGGCGAAAGCCUGAUCCAGCAACGCCGCGUGAGGGAUGACGGCCUUCGGGUUGUAAACCUCUUUCAGCAGAGACGAAGCGCAAGUGACGGUACCUGCAGAAGAAGCACCGGCCAACUACGUGCCAGCAGCCGCCGUAAGAC